CUGCUACCUCUUACCCAUGUCUUUUGAGUACCUUCGUUUCCUCGGCGGGUCCGCCCGCCGAUUGGACAACAUUCAAACCCUUUGCAGUUGCAAUCAGCGUCUGAAAAAACAUAAUAGUUACAACUUUCAACAACGGAUCUCUUGGUUCUGGCAUCGAUGAAGAACGCAGCGAAAUGCGAUAAGUAGUGUGAAUUGCAGAAUUCAGUGAAUCAUCGAAUCUUUGAACGCACAUUGCGCCCCUUGGUAUUCCAUGGGGCAUGCCUGUUCGAGCGUCAUUUGUACCUUCAAGCUCUGCUUGGUGUUGGGUGUUUGUCUCGCCUCUGCGUGUAGACUCGCCUUAAAACAAUUGGCAGCCGGCGUAUUGAUUUCGGAGCGCAGUACAUCUCGCGCUUUGCACUCAUAACGACGACGUCCAAAAGUACAUUUUUACACUCUUGACCUCGGAUCAGG
rnacentral:rRNA from 1 species